AUUGAACGCUGGCGGCAGGCCUAACACAUGCACGUCGAACGAGUGGCGGACGGGUGAGUAAUGUCUGGGAAACUGCCUGCUGGAGGGGGAUAACUACUGGAAACGGUAGCUAAUACCGCAUACCAUCGGAUCUGCCCAGAUGGGAUUAGCUUGUCGGGGGGGUAAAGGCUCACCUAGGCGACGAUCCCUAGCUGGUCUGAGAGGAUGACCAGCCACACGGGAACUGAGACACGGUCCAGAAGCCUACGGGAGGCAGCAGUGGGGAAGAUUUGACAAUGGGCGAAAGCCUGAUGCAGCCAUGCCGCGUGUAUGAAGAAGGCCUUCGGUUUGUAAAGUACUUUUAGCGGGGAGGCGUUACCCGCAGAAGAAGCACCGGCUAACUCCGUGCCAGCAGCCGCGGUAAUAC
rnacentral:rRNA from 1 species